AUUGAACGCUGGCGGCAUGCCUUACACAUGCAAGUCGAGCGCGAAAGGGGGCAACCCCGAGUAGAGCGGCGGACGGGUGAGUAACACAUCGGAACGUGCCCAGUAGUGGGGGACAACCUCGAGAAAUCGAGGCUAAUACCGCAUACGACCCACGGGUGAAAGCGGGGGACCCAAAGGCAACUGAGGGCCUCGCGCUAUUGGAGCGGCCGAUGUCCGAUUAGCUAGUUGGCGGGGUAAGAGCCCACCAAGGCGACGAUCGGUAGCUGGUCUGAGAGGACGACCAGCCACACUGGGACUGAGACACGGCCCAGACUCC
rnacentral:rRNA from 1 species